UAAAGACACGGGUGUCAGGCUUUCUGGG
rnacentral:piRNA from 2 species